rnacentral:lncRNA from 1 species
AAACCAAUAAAUGCCUUUAUUGAGGACACAGGAUAUAAGAUCGAUAUAUGAAAAUUAAAACAUCAAAUAGCCUGACUUAAAAAUAAGCAGAGGAGCUGAAUACUCAUUUUUCCAAAGAGCAUACAGAUGGCCAACAGGCACAGGAUAAGAUGCUCAACAUCACUAAUCAUCAGGGAAAUGCAAACCAAAACCACAACGAGACAUCACCUCACAUCUGUCAGAAUAGUUAUUAUCAAAAAGACAACAGGGAGUUCCUGUCAUGGCUCAGCAGUAAUGAACCUAACUAGUAUCCAUGAAGAUACAGGUUCAUUCCCUGGCCUUAUUUAGUGGGUUAAGAAUCUGGUGUUGCCGUGAGCUGUGGCAUACGUCGUAGACACGGUACAGAUCCCACGUUGCUAUGGCUGUGGUGUAGGCUGGAGGCUACAGCUCCGAUUCAACCCCUAGCCUGGGAACCUCCAUAUGCCGUGGGAGUGGCCCAAGAAAUAGCAAAAAAAAGAAUCCAACUGCAGUGGCUUGAGUGGAUCCUUGGUCCAGCACAGUGGGUUAAAGGAUCCAGGCCAUAGAUUGAACCUGUGUCCCAGGGCUCCCAAGAUGUCACCAAUCACUUUCCACCAUAUCAGGAACUCCAGGAGAUCCUUAACAGCCAAAAAGUGAAACCAUACCAAAUGUCAAUCAAUUGGUGAAUGAAUAAACAAAAUGUGGUAUUAUCUUCAUAGUAUAAUACUAUUCAGUAACCAAAAGAAACAAACUAUUGAUGCAUGCUACAGCACGGAUGAAACUCAAAAUAAUCCUAAUUAUAAGGAUUCAGAUGUCAGAAGACUACAUAUUACAGCAGCAUGAGAAAAUUUUCUGAGGUGAUGGAAAUGUUCCAUAUCUUGUUCAGGAUGAUGGAUACAUGUGUGCACAAAAUAAAAAUUUGAUUCUGCUAUAAAAGUCCCAAGUGGGAAAUGCUUGUCCUUCAAUGUUUAUAUUAGAAAGAAGAAAAGCUAAAAGAAAAAUAACGAAUUAAAUACUUAAUAAAAAUUAGCACAAUAAACCCAAGGAAAGUAGAAGAAAGGAAAUAAUAAAGAUAAGAAAUCAAUGAAAUAAAAAGUACAACAGAGGCUCAACAAAGCCAAAACUUGGUCCUUCGAAAAGGCUAAUAAGAUUUUUUUAAAAUAGGCUAUGAGUCAUAAUAGAAGUUAAUGAGAAACUUUUGAGACAAAAGAUUGUUGGAAUUGGUGCUUUUAAGAGUGCAAAGCACUAGACUAAUGAGUUUUGUUGUAUUUUACAACCCUUUGGAGAAGGUUGAAGAUGACUUUUUUCAUAAAGUCCCUAAGACUUAAAAGAAAUUGAAAAGAAUAAAGGUUUUCUUUAAGUUUGAACUGUAAUCUGUAUCUUGCCGUCAUUAAACGUGUUCCUGGUUAACUGAAGCUCCUAGAGUGAUAUUCUUGACAUAAUAUUUAGACAGGGCUGAUUUUUUAAUUCUUUUGGAGUAUACUUAAAUUAUGAUUUCUGCUAAGGCUUUUUAUGUUUGUUGUAGGAAAUAUUUUAUCACUGUAUGCUUGUAAUAAAGAAAUCGUAUUUGAUAGAAAAUAUUUAUUGUAGGAAUAUAGAUUGCAAUGGAUAUACCAGUCUGAUAGUGAUAAACUUUAAUGUGUAAUUUUACUAUUAUGUAAGUGGCACAAAUUCACUUGCCUGGUCUUGGCUUUCUCCCAUAAACUUGUUUGAGAAAAUAUACUGUGAUUCUAACAGAUUUAGUGCUAACACCCACAAGGAGUUGGUCCCUUUGACACUCCUUUCCAUUCUUUUUGCUGAGGUAACAAUUCUGUAUUACAAAUUCUCAAAGCAUUUUUGUGUGUGUCUUUUUAGGGCCACACCCAAAGCAUAUGGAAGUUCCCAGGCGAAGGGUCGAAUCAGAGCUGCAGCUGCUGGCCUACGCCACAGCCACAGCCACACCAGACCCUUAACCCACUGAGCCAGGUCAGGGAUCAAAGCUGUAUCCUCAUAGAUACUAGUCAGGUUCAUUACCGCUGAGCCACUAUAGGAAUGCCCUUUCAAAGCAUUUUAGGUCAAAGAGAUUAUUUCCUCUUGGGGAUUGUCAUAAAAUACCUUUGGGACCAAUAUUUUCACCUUUAAUUUUAACUAGGGCUGAAUCAAGGGUAGCUUAUAGUUUUAUUUCGUAACAGAAGAAAUGUACCACAAAACGCAUUUAAUCAUCCCUUUUUGGCUGCACCCGAGGAACAUGGAAGUUCCCAGACCAGGGAUCCAAUCUGAGCCAUAUCUGCGACCUGCAGCAUAGCUGCAGCAACACUGUUUUCUUAAAACACUGCACUGGGCAGGGAAUGGAACCCGUACUACCACAGAGACAAUGCCAGAUCUUAACCCUCUGCGUCACAGUGGGAACCCCAAUCAUCCCUUUUUGACUAACAUUUAGGUUAGUUAUAUGUUAGUAUACAGUUGCUGUUACAUUAAACAAUGUUGGAAUAAACAUCAUUCUAAGUAGAUCUUCGUGAACAUGAGCAAAUAUUCCGUUAUGAUACAUUCCCAGAUACGGAAUUCUGGGUCAAACGGUGAGAUAUUUUAAAUCUCAACAGAUGUAAUCAUAACUGUCCUUUUCAAAAAACGCACCAGUUUAUACUUCAUGGCUGCUAGAAUUUUUUUAACUUUUGCCAAUUUUACUGAGUGAAGAUGAAUUGCAUUAUUAGGUUUCACAUUUUUUUAUUACCUGAUAGGCUGAGCACUUUACAAAUGUAUACUGGGUACUUACAUUUCUUUUAUAAACAGCCUGUACAUAUCUGACGGAAGAUUUUCUCUCUUGCCAAAAAGCUGAAGUCAGACAUAUUGUUCAAUAAUGGUGCUUUAUUGGACUUUCCCUACGGCCUACGGCAUAACCACAUGGUAUUGUCUCUGCAACAGCAUUGUCUCCGCAAUGGCUCAGGUCCUGGCCCUGGAACUUCCAAGUGUGUGCCAUGGGUACAGCUAUUUUUAAAAAAUUAAAAAAAAAAAAAAAAAAAAA